rnacentral:miRNA from 1 species
UGCCUCCACCCAUCUUAGAUAUG